rnacentral:tRNA from 1 species
AUUAUUGUUGCUUUGGCAGAAUAGUGUGAUAGAUUUAGAAUCUUUUUAUGUGGUGGGCAGCCACAGGUAACA